CAACGAAGGAAAUUUUUAAGAUGUGGAAGACAUGGACUGAGGCGCAGGAAUAUUGUGUUGCAUUGGGAGGAAGACUGGCGACAGUUUCAAGUUCUGAUGAGGAUGAGUUUUUGAAGAGUCUAACAAGCCGUUUAUUUCCAGUGUGGAUAGGUGGAUCGGAUGUUGUAUCUGAGGGUAACUGGACAUGGAACGAAGGGACCAAUGCAGAAAAGCGCAAUAUACAACCGACCUUCUGGGGACCUGAUCAACCAGAUAAUUUAGAUAGUGAUCAGCACUGUUUGGGAUAUCACAAUUUCCAGCAUACGGCAUAUGCAUGGAAUGAUAUGUAUUGUUGGAGCGGCUAUUACUUUAUUUGCGAGACGUAAAUGCUCGUUAUACUGGAAAUUAUCGGCAAAAUGAUAACACUGCUUUGAUAUUUUCUGCAUAAAUCUUUAUAACUUGGUUGUAUUUGAUUUGAAAUGAUAAUUCGUCCAUGUACGUAUAAAAUAAUCCUAAUGAAAUAUGUACUUUGAACUUGGGUUCAGGUAUGAAAAUAUAAAUAUUAUUUGAUUAAAAUAUCAAAUAACAAUUUAUAAAUUUCAUACGUCCGAACCGCUUUUCUGGAUCUACCCAACUAGUAUUUAACGUAUACUAGUAAUUGUUAUCCUCUUGUAGCACCUUAUUUGUGUCUAAGUUGUAAAGGUUUGUCUUGUCUUUUAGAUUGCAUGUUAAGCAAAACACCUGUUCUACUGCAAGUAAUCCAACUCCUGUUCCACUGCACUUAAGAAAUGCAUUCGUUCCAUCGCAGGUAAAACAAUACAUCUAACGUAUCGUGUUAGCAUCUUUUUAAAUAUUAUCAGUAUAAAUUUUGUAGUUAUUGUAUAGCAAGUAUUGACAAACCUCGAUUUAUUGUUGUUGUAUUGAAUUAUAUUGCUCAUUUAUUUAAAGUAUGACAUGCUUGCAAAUUUAAUGUAUAUUUAAUGUAUUUGUUAAUUUAUAAUCGUUAUCCUCUUGUAGUACCUUAUGUGUGCCUAAGUUGAUAUAAAUUAUCACGUCUUUUCUUGUCUAUUCGACUGCAAAUAAAAUAAUACACCUGC